AUGUCUGCAAAAUCACUCAUCUCUUGCUGUCCCGACCAUUUUAUUUCUUCCCUCAUGCUUGUAAAAGCUGGGGCCCUCCUCGCCAGCUCUGCAGCAGUUUGAAACCCGAACUGCUGCGCUGCAACACUUCCACAACUUCAGGUGCCGCUUUUAUUUCUGGCCUUGGAACAAUAUCAUUUAAUGCUCUAAUGAGAUGCCUUAAAAAUACAAACGAGCCGCCUGAUACAGCAGGAUGCAAACCUGUCUCCAUGGCAGUGAUUUUCCUGAAGACGCUUUUCAUCUCUGGCUGCUGGAAGCUUCGAUGUAAAAAUUUAUCGUGCGCCCUCCCCUAAUAAAAUGUGAUGGUUUUACUGUA